AUUUCAUAGUUAGCAGAAAUCAGGAUGAUGGUGUCUUGUUGUCCUGUCUCCUGCCUAUCGGGAUCUUUUUUUUUUUUUUUUUUUUUUCUAUGCAAGUCAGACUUUGGCAGCAGCAUGUUUUUUAUGUCUCCUUUCAAACAAGACCCCUCUAUUCUCCCCCACAAAAUAAGCAGAGACCUGUCUGAACCAGUCUGUUGACUUUCCCUAGAUAGAAAGAGGCAUAGUGGAAAUAUGCUAACCUGGCAUCCAGGGGUUCAAGUUCUGAGUGUUGGUGGGCCUGUCUGAAAUCCCCCCUCCAUCAGAAGAUUUGGAGUAAUAGCAUAUACUUCCAGUGCUUUGUGGGAAGAUGGUGAGACUCUCGUGAGGUCAUUGUGAUAGAACUUUCAGGUGUCAUAGGUAAGUGGCUUGAUAAUAACUGCUAACACUGCUAAGGCUGGAUGCUAAAACAAGUGAAUUAUAUCUCAUCAUAUCCCAGCUGUCCUGUGGCAUAGGAACUGUUACGAUCCCAAAUCUUACCACUCCCAAACCAAAGCAGAGGCAAAUAAUAUGGCUUAUCUCACCCGUUCUGUGACUAAUUUCAAAAGGGAAAGUAUCAGAGUCCAGAGUCUGUCUUCUAUUGUUACCUUUUGGGAAGGAAGGGCCGGGUUUUCCUCUGUGAGAUGAUACCUCUUAGUCACACACAAGGAAAUGAGACAUCACCUCUAAAAACCUGGACCACAUUCAGGCUGAGAAAAUAUAAGAACAGCUCUCCUCUUCAUCAUCAGGGAGAGUUCCUGUUAGGCAGGGAUGUAGCAGACUGUAUGGGUUAAUUAUGUUUUAUGUGUAAACAGCCUGGUGAUUCUUAGCUGAAAAGCUCUAAAUGAAAAGACCUAUUACUUGUAAAUGCUUCCAGAAACAAGAAAUUUGAUUCCCUUUCUGUCCCCUUAAACUCAAAGUGUGAUAGCCUAUUUGGAGUAUAGGGAGAGAGUUAGAGAAUGAAUAGAAGACGUAUGGAAUGUUUAAUUUCGCAUGAUUGCAUUUCACAUUUGCUGUAGCAACGGAGGCAUCAGAGAACACCUAUUUUUGAUGUUUUGAUGGUGUGCUCCAGGCUUUACAGCCUGAUUUAUGAACUUUGUGGGGAUAAAUUCUUAUUAAGCAAAUGAACAGAAAUGCAUUUGUGUUCACAUCACUGAAAGCAUGCAAUUUGUACAACCACUUUUUAAAAUUUCUAUUUACACUAUAGUCAUUGGAAUUUCAAAAGAGAAAAAGAGCCUGAAGCAGUUCAUGGGAGAAAAUGAUGUGAAUUUUGUGGACAUUUCUCCCCCCAACCCCACCCCUCGACGAAAUAUGUUUAGUUUGUACUGGGGUUAAAUUUGGAUUGGCAAACAGUGAGGGUCUGGCUUGCUUUAUAUUUCUGAAUGAAGCAGUUCAAAAAUAGAAUCAUUUCUAUAAUCCAGAGGAACGGAUGGACUCCUGAGAAGUAAUCAACUAAGGGAAAGAAUAAAUUUUGUUCUUCCAAAAAUUGCCUGAGUCUCAAGCAACCGCGGCUGUGCUUUAGCGUUUGUUAAUACAGUAAGAUAAUUGCAUAACUAAAUACACUAUGGAAUUCCAAUAAUUGGAAACUUGGUUUCCUCGUCACAACACACAACUUGCUGAUGCUGAAAAGCACAGGCAGUAUUUUCAAAUGCGAGGACCAUUCUCUCCCGGACAUGUCCUCUGCAGUGUUUUGCAGCUCCUGUUGCGGUUCUGGAGACUCGUCCCUUGUGGUUAUUUUUAGUCCGUUGGAUUUAGAAAGGUGAAUUGAAACAGGAAGUCCCAAAGUCUGACCUGCUUGCCCAGGGCAGGCGGGUUGCGAAUUGCUUCUCUGAAAGUCCCCUUGGUGAUAUUUAGAUGAAGUGACCUGAACGUGUUCAACUCAGGAAGCUCCAUUCUGUGUGUCCUUGGGUGGUAGCUCAGUGGAGCCUCCUGGAGGUCAAAUCUGGUAUGGCUUCUUUUUGUGUGACUGAUAAAAAUAGCCUUUUCUUUUUUGCUUACUCGUAAAAGGAGAAGUUUACUAGUCACAUCUUGGUGUGAGGUCUAUUUGAGUUAAUAUAUGGAAAGACCUUAGGAAGCACAGGUAUAACAUAAGUCUCUAAUAGACAGUGGCUAUGGUAAUCAGGCACUCUAGGUUAAGGCUUCAUAUCUAUGCGAACUAUAGCAAAUCCUGGAGGAAAAGUGAAUAAAGAGACUUAGGAUCCACCAUUCAAGAAAUAUUUGUUGACUCCUCAGGUACCACUCUCUCCUAGAUGUCAAAGAAACAAAGAUUAGGUAGUAUGAACUCUUGACUUGCAAUAGUUCAAUCGAAUUGGGAAAUAGGCAGAAACAUCUAUACAUCUAUAAUGAUCACGACGGGAACAAAAAAUAUUUCAAAAUGGCGCCUAGUGAAUAGCAGAGAUAUUUUCGAUGGCAGGAACUGGCCUAUCUCCUGUGUAUCUUGUUUCUCAUAAACAUACAGUCUGGCUUCUUACCCAUUGGUUUGGAAUUCAGAUCGGUGUAGGAGCACAGAGCAGAUUUCUAUCACUGGGUACUUACAUAGCACCAAGUGGACUCACUGGGUGAAUGACACCAGCAAAUUUGGCUUUAAGGAGUCAGGAGUGGUUGCCACGGGCAGUUUGUGAGUAUAGAUGUAUUUGCUUUUGUUGGCUUCUAGGGUAAGCCCUAGGCAAGUGAGGUGCAUAGCUACUAGACUACUAAAGUGACUGUCACCCUAAGGAUCAGAUAAGUGCUUCCUUAGUCUUUCUUCAAGCCUUCAAUGCUUCAUGUCCUUCACCGUGACCCACAUCUGGUUGAAUCCAGUGGCUUCAUUCUUGUUCAUGUCUGACUGAACUUUAGUUGUAUAUAUGUAUAAACUCCCUUGCCCCCUUUCUUUUGAAGAACUUGAAACCUACGGAAGUUGACAGACUAGCCCCCAAAGAGACUUCUAACCCGUGUCUACCAACCUGCUGAUAUUGUGUCUUUUUUCUGCAUAUACAACUGUGAACCUUGCUCUGAUUACCAACAUUGACAUCUUCCCAUCACAUCGUAGCUUCCAAACGACCUUUCCACCUUUUGACUUCAUAUCCAUAAUGUCGAAUUUACCUCCUAAAUUCUGUGUUUCAAACUUAUCAGUGUUGGAAAGAAAGUCAAUAGCAACAUUAAAAGAACUUUUCUUACAAUUAAAAAAAAAAACCCACAGUUUAAAACCUACUUCUUAAAUCUUAUUUUUAGAUAGCAUACCAACAUCCUAAGAACGUGGUCAAUAUAAGAUAACUAAAACUUAAAGGUUAGAAGAUUUUUCUGGGAUACUGUGACAUUCUCUUCUACAGAGGAGAUUUUUUUUUUAAGACAAAUUCCCCUGACUUAGUUUUCACGCGAGCCUUUCAAAAGUAGAUGGUAGUGUAAUUAUUAGUACAGAGAUCACUGUUUCCCACAGUAGGAAUAUUCACUGUAAGAGGUGACUUUUCAAACACACCACAGUGGCUCUGCUGUAAAUUAGGGAUAUAGUCUUAAACUGAAAUAGUUAUACUAUGGUUUUGGACGACACCAACUAAUUAAUAUGACUUCUCUUCCCCCUUUUCUGAUAGCCUUGACCAGAUGUUAAAAAUAAGGUAUCUGUCACAAAGUAUGAUCAGAUGUGCCAGACACCUAUUCCACUGUUCUUAGCCAAGGAUGUGGGGAAGGUUGUGUUGAUGGAGACCACGGACUAGGGAGGGACACCCUGGUGGUUCUCUCAGGCCCAUAAAACAGCCCUGAGAUAAGAUGCUUCAUUGUGGGCAUCUGCUAACAGUUUGCAAGAAAGUGUGCUACAGCUAC
rnacentral:lncRNA from 1 species